UUCCAAAGUGCGAAACAAUAACAGGAAAUACAUUGCAAUUGGAAAGAAAAAUAUAAUUAUGUCAAGAAUAAAAAACAUCAACCAAUUGUAGCAUUAUACCAUCAAACUGAACCUAAAAACACAUAAUAAGUAAAAUGAAAUCAUCUUAAGUAGUAUUAUAAACCUCUAGCAAUCAUUUCACAUAGAAGUUUCUCUGCUUUAUCAUUCUCAUCCUUCUCAAAGAGAGCAUAAAUAAUGGUUUCAUAAGUUAUAGCAUUAGGAAUACAACCAUUGUCUUCCAUUUUUGACAUCAAGAUGAUAGCUUCAUCAAAUAAGCCCUCUAAACAAAGACCAUUGAUCAUAAUAGUAUAUGUCCAAACAUUUACAUUGUAGCCUUUAAUCAAAAGAUCAUGAAAAAUCACUUGUGCGUCCAGAAAUCUCCCUUGUUUGCAAAGUCCAUCCAUGAGUAUAUUGUAUGUGCGCAUAUCUGGUUGAAUGCCUUUGUCUUUAAUUUUCUUGACCAAUGCAAUUGCCUUAUCAACAUGACAGUUUUUACAUAAAGCAUGUAAUAAAGAAUUGUAAGUGAUUACAUUGGCAGGUUGACCCCUAUCUUGCAUCUCAUCAAGAAGCUCCCAAGCAUGAGAGAUUCUCCCUGAUUUGCACAAACCAUCAAUAAGAGAACUGUAAGUUACUCUAUCAGGAAUAAUCUUCUUGUUUUGCAUUUCUUGAAAUAGAUUCAUGGCUUCAUCCAUCAUUUUAAUCUUACACAACCCAUUAAUCAUGACAUUAUAGCAACAAACAUUAGGAAUCACUCCUCUUUGAACCAUGGUGUUGAAUAUAACUUUGGCCUUGUUGACUUCAUUAACUAGGCAAUACCCAUCUAGAAAUGAAGUAUAAGUAACAACAUUUGGUUUGAUACCUUGUUUCACCAUAACAGCUAACACAUUUUUAGCUUCUUUGACAUUUCCUUCCUUGCAUAAAGCAUCGAGCAAUAUACUAAAGAUAUAAACAUCUNNNNNAUGCAAAAUCCAUAUAUCAGAGAAGUGUAAGUAAUAACAUCAGGAGAAAUGCCCUUUACAAUCAUUUCAGAAUAUAAAUCCUUAGCAUCUAUUAAAAGCUUAUCUUUACACAAACUAUCAAUAAUUGUGCUGUAUAUUACCACAUCAGGUUUGACCAAUUUCCCUUCGAUUCGUCUUAGAACUUGCAAGGCAGCCCUUGUUUCUCCAAUUUUACAGAGUCCAUUGAUCAAGGUCCCGUAGCUAACUUGAUCGAGGUGAAAUCCAUGUGCAAGCACAUGGUCGUGAAAAUGCAGAGCUUCUUUCACCUUAUCGUUGAAACACAGACCUUUGAUAAGAGUAUUUAAGGUUAUGACAUCAGGCUGAUAACCCAACUUGAGAAUCUUAGCCAAUAUAGAAAAGGCAAAAGUCAUAUGACCGACGUGGCAGUAACAAUUGAUCAAUAUAUUGAAAGUAACAACAUUAGGCAUAAUUCCAUUGAAUUGUAAUUGGUUAGAAAGUGAAAUAGCAGUGGGGUAAUGUUUCAUCUUAACAAGGGAAGUUAAAAUCUUGCAAAAUUGUACAAUGGAUGGGGUUGGAUUCAUACUGAGCAUGUAAUGGAAUGAAGAAACAGCAUUAUUACCAGCAUCAAUAUUAUUGUGAUUGAAUCGAGAAUGAAGGAAAGUGGAAGUUGUGACAUGAGAACGAAGUAAAACUAACCUUGAGAGUGAGAACGACAUGGACAACAUUGUUGGUUGGUUGAUCUAUUAUUAUGUUGUUACUUGUUAGGUUUUCGGAACAACAAAAUGCAAACCCUUCAGAAAAACAAAAACGCAAAGUACAAUGGAAUUCUAAUGUUUUCUUUAUACUUUAAAUCAAUGUUUUAAGAACCGGACCGGAGGUCGAACCGUUGUGACAACUGGUUCAAGGGUCAACCGGUCGGAUCGGUUCAACCGUUAUUGAACCGUUUAUAUUGAACCGUUCAUAUAAUUUUUUCACGNNNNNNNNNNNNNCGGUUCACACCGGUUUUUGACCGGUUCCACUGACUAGCGGUUCUUGCUAGUCGUCCGGACCGCCGAGGGCACCGGUUCGUGGUCGGACCGGCCGGUCCGGUUCGGUUUUUAAAACAUUGCUUUAAAUUUGCAGCACAUACAUGGAGGUAAAACUGGUGAGAACUUGAUUGUGGUGGUCGGAGCCGAGGUAGAAGCUGUUGUCGGAGCUGAUGACGGUGGUCAGGUGACGGCUGGCUUCGACAGCAGUAGCUGGUUAAACUGACCCAAACGGAAAUGCUUCUCAACGUGCAGUUUAAUUCACCUUUUCCUCUUUUUCUCCAGUCUCUCCUCAUACAUCGAUGACUAAGAUGUUACUAUUUCUCUCGAGUAAUUGAGAGAAUUCAUUCUCCUUAUUUUCUAUAUCUUCAGAAAGUUUGACACUCUUUAAACAUUCCAAG
rnacentral:lncRNA from 1 species